rnacentral:rRNA from 1 species
UGGGGAAUUUUGCACAAUGGGGGAAACCCUGAUGCAGCGACGCCGCGUGAUUUAGAAGGCCUUCGGGUUGUAAAAAUCUUUUCUAUGGGAAGAAAAUGACAGUACCAUAGGAAUAAGGACCGGCUAAUUACGUGCCAGCAGCCGCGGUAAUACGUAAGGUCCGAGCGUUGUCCGGAAUCAUUGGGCGUAAAGGGUACGUAGGCGGGUAAGCAAGUUAGAAGCGAAAUCCUGUAGCUCAACUACAGUAAGCUUUUAAAACUGCUCAUCUUGAGAUAUGGAAGGGAAAGUGGAAUUCCUAGUGUAGCGGUGAAAUGCGCAGAUAUUAGGAGGAAUACCGGUGGCGAAGGCGACUUUCUGGCCAUAAUCUGACGCUGAGGUACGAAAGCGUGGGUAGCAAACAGG